rnacentral:rRNA from 1 species
CGGACGGCUGAGUAACGCGUGGGUGACCUGCCCCGAAGUGGGGGAAUAACUGCCCGAAAGGGUGGCUAAUACCGCAUGUGGUGGUGCCUUCAUUGGCACCAGUAAAGCCGCAAGGCGCUUCGGGAGGGGCCUGCGUCCGAUUAGCUCGUUGGUGGGGUAACGGCUCACCAAGGCGACGAUCGGUAGGUGGUCUGAGAGGACGAUCACCCAGACUGGGACUGAGACACGGCCCAG